rnacentral:lncRNA from 1 species
GGAAGUGAAUGGGGUGGCUGAUGGCUUAGCGAGUUUUGCGAGCUGUAAUUGUAUGAUAGAUUUUCUUUCUUUUCUUUUUGCAAUGUAAGCGAUUGUACUAACGUUGUUUAUUAAUAAAAAGCAAUGCUAAAAAAAAGAACAAAUGCGGCCCUGAGGGUGGGGCUAUUUGUUGGUUUUGUGUGGGGUGGGGCUAUAUGUCGUUUUUGUGUGGGUGUUUUUGUGAAUGUGUGUGUGAGGUCUCACGUGAAAUUUUUAAAGACCAUCCUCUCCUUUUUUUUUCCUUUUUUUCUUUUGGAUAUGUAUUUGUGAGAGAGAGGUCUUGAACACUUGGAGGAUAUGUAAAGAGAUAGAGGGACUUCACAUCGAACACUUGGAGGCCAUUUUCUUUUUUUCUCUUCGUACAUGUAAAGAGGGAGCAUAUAGGUACAUGUGUAUCUUUUUUCUCUUCUUACAUGUAAAGAGGGAGCGUAUAGGUACAUGUGUAUCUUUGCACGUGUAUGUGAGAAAGAGAGGCUGCGUAUCAAACACUUGGAGUCCAUCUUUUUCUUCUUUUCUCUUUCUUAUAUGUAGAGAGUUGAUAUGGUUCAUGAUUGGGCCAAAACGGGUUGUAGGACCAAGAGGGGAAGAAAAGGACAAUGAUGUAAUAAAG